CCCUGGCUCAGGACGAACGCUGGCGGCAUGCCUAAUACAUGCAAGUCGAGCGAAUGACGAAGAAGCUUGCUUCUUCUGAUUUAGCGGCGGACGGGUGAGUAACACGUGGGCAACCUGCCCUGUAGAUUGGGAUAACUCCGGGAAACCGGGGCUAAUACCAAAUAAUCCAUUUCCUCACAUGUGGAAAUGUUAAAAGACGGUUUCGGCUGUCACUACAGGAUGGGCCCGCGGCGCAUUAGCUAGUUGGUAGGGUAACGGCCUACCAAGGCGACGAUGCGUAGCCGACCUGAGAGGGUGAUCGGCCACACUGGGACUGAGACACGGCCCAGACUCCUACGGGAGGCAGCAGUAGGGAAUCUUCCACAAUGGACGAAAGUCUGAUGGAGCAAUGCCGCGUGAGUGAAGAAGGUUUUCGGAUCGUAAAACUCUGUUGUAAGGGAAGAACAAGUACGAGAGUAACUGCUCGUACCUUGACGGUACCUUAUUAGAAAGCCACG
rnacentral:rRNA from 1 species